AACAACAUCCUGAUGCUGCCAGAGCGGGUCUGGUGGCUCCAGCAUCAGUGAUUUUGUUGC
rnacentral:pre_miRNA from 1 species